rnacentral:rRNA from 1 species
AAGACCUUGCACUUUUGGAGCGGCCGAUGUCUGAUUAGCUAGUUGGUGGGGUAAAGGCCUACCAAAGCUUCGAUCAGUAGCUGGUCUGAGAGGACGGCCAGCCACACUGGGACUGAGACACGGCCCAGACUCCUACGGGAGGCAGCAGUGGGGAAUUUUGGACAAUGGGCGCAAGCCUGAUCCAGCCAUGCCGCGUGAGUGAAGAAGGCCUUCGGGUUGUAAAGCUCUUUCAGCCGGGAAGAAAAGGUUGCGAYUAAUAAUCGCAAUUCAUGACGGUACCGRAAGAAGAAGCACCGGCUAACUACGUGCCAGCAGCCGCGGUAAUACGUAGGGUGCGAGCGUUAAUCGGAAUUACUGGGCGUAAAGGGUGCGCAGGCGGUUUUGUAAGUCAGAUGUGAAAUCCCCGGGCUUAACCUGGGAACU